GGGGGUGCACUGGCUUCGACGGGGGUCGCGAAAUCACUUGGCGCAUGCCGAGGGGGUAGCUUUCCUCGUAAAUCCAGCUGCAAACUUUUAGUUGCCAACGACGACAACUACGCUCUCGCCGCUUAAGGCGUAAGCCCCGAAAUUGCUUGUGUCCGUGCUCGCAAUGUAGGGUCAUUAUCACGGAAUCGCCGGGAGUGGUUGCCUGUCAGCACCCGGUCAACUCAAAACAGGCUGGCUCCUGGAUGCGCUUUGCGCGCCGUGCUGUUCGGGGGCGAGAUCUAACGGAGCGCUAAGCAUGUAGUGCCGGGGAUGGAGUGCCUUCGGACGGCGGUUCGAUUCCGCCCACCUCCACCA
rfam:Lysobacter antibioticus strain 76, complete genome.